rnacentral:rRNA from 1 species
CACGAAGUUAGCCGGGGCUUCUUCUCCGACUACCGUCAUUAUCUUCAUCGGUGAAAGAGCUUUACAACCCUAAGGCCUUCAUCACUCACGCGGCAUGGCUGGAUCAGGCUUGCGCCCAUUGUCCAAUAUUCCCCACUGCUGCCUCCCGUAGGAGUCUGGGCCGUGUCUCAGUCCCAGUGUGGCUGAUCACCCUCUCAGACCAGCUAAAGAUCGUCGCCUUGGUGAGCCAUUACCUCACCAACUAGCUAAUCUUACGCGGGCUCAUCCAAAUCCGAUAAAUCUUUCCCCCGUAGGGCGUAUACGGUAUUAGCAGUCGUUUCCAACUGUUGUUCCGUAGAUCUGGGUAGAUUCCCACGCGUUACUCACCCGUCUGCCACUCCCUAUUGCUAGGGCGUUCGACUUGCAUGUGUUAAGCCUGCCGCCAGCGUCGUUCUGUAGCCAGGAGUCAAACUC